UCCGAAAUAGUAACAACGAACUGUAAGAAGUCAGCAGAGGUCAUAGUACCGUGAUAUUACGGGAAGGAC
rnacentral:ncRNA from 1 species